ensembl:lncRNA
CUGGGUUUUCUAAAUAUCUCCAUUUUGUGUCCCCACCAGGACAGAUGAAUGUGGCUCUGCAGCCCCAGCUGUGCCCACAGUGCUGCCUCUGGGUGGGGAGAUGCUGGGCUGAGCAGCAGAGGCUUUGUGCAAAGCAGCCUUGUGUGAAGCAGGAGUAGCUGCAGCGUGGUGUGAGCUUGGACCUGCCUGGAGACAGAGAAUUUGACGAUUUAAAAACCAACAACCCCCCAAAAAAUCCAGUGACUUGUGCCAGAAUUCUCAGGAGGACUCCUCAGAAACGUCCCGUUCUCGCCUUGUGUUUUCCUUCCACAACCAGCUUCCUUCUGGAGACUCUCUCCUCCUCUUGCACGAAUGAGGUAGUGGAUUUCCCCCUUCUCCUCUCCUCUCCUCAGUGGCCUCUCCCAUUGCUCCUCAGGGUGAUUUUUAUCCCGUCCCUGGCCCAGGCUCAUUCCCAGGAGGCGGUGAAUUGACGCAUGCGUUCCUUCCGACGGCGCUCCAGAGCAGACUGUCUAGGGCUGCCCACCUACACUGUGACAAUUUUUGUUUUGUUUUGUUGCAAGGCUGAAAGUAAAAACCCCAAAAGGAAAGUUGUCUUCCUCCUCUUCAAGGUA